rnacentral:rRNA from 1 species
CCCUUAGAUGUUCUGGGCCGCACGCGCGCUACACUGACGAAUGCAACGAGCUUAUAACCUUGGCCGAAAGGUCUGGGUAAUCUCCAAAUUUCGUCGUGAUGGGGAUAGAUUAUUGCAAUUAUUAAUCUUCAACGAGGAAUGCCUAGUAAGCGCAAGUCAUCAGCUUGCGUUGAUUACGUCCCUGCCCUUUGUACACACCGCCCGUCGCUCCUACCGAUUGAAUGGUCCGGUGAAAUCUUCGGAUCUGAGAGAUGUCUGAUUAAUUUCGGACGCCUUUUGGAAAAGUUGCUUAAACCUUACCAUUUAGAGGAAGGUGAAGUCGUAACA